CCAAAGGCUCUUUUAAGAGCUAUUCAGAUUGCAAUAAGAGUAUUCU
rfam:Salmo salar isolate Sally breed double haploid chromosome ssa03, whole genome shotgun sequence.